GAUGAAGAACGUAGCGAAAUGCGAUAAGUAAUGUGAAUUGCAGAAUUCAGUGAAUCAUCGAAUCUUUGAACGCACAUUGCGCCCGCCAGUAUUCUGGCGGGCAUGCCUGUUCGAGCGUCAUUUCAACCCUCAGGCCCCCAGUGCCUGGUGUUGGGGAUCGGCCCAGCCUUCCUGUAAGGCCGCCGGCCCCGAAAUCUAGUGGCGGUCUCGCUGUAGUCCUCCUCUGCGUAGUAGCACAACCUCAGUUGGAACGCGGCGGUGGCCAUGCCGUUAAACACCCCACUUCUGAAAGUUGACCUCGGAUCAGGUAGGAAUACCCGCUGAACUUAAGCAUAUCAAUAAGCGGAGGA
rnacentral:misc_RNA from 1 species